CCUACGGGUGGCAGCAGUGGGGAAUAUUGGACAAUGGGGGGAACCCUGAUCCAGCCAUGCCGCGUGUGUGAAGAAGGCCCUCGGGUUGUAAAGCACUUUCAGUGAGGAAGAACGCCUGGUGGUUAAUACCCAUCAGGAAAGACAUCACUCACAGAAGAAGCACCGGCUAACUCCGUGCCAGCAGCCUCGGUAAUACGGAGGGUGCGAGCGUUAAUCGGAAUUACUGGGCGUAAAGCGCGCGUAGGUGGCUUGAUAAGCCGGUUGUGAAAGCCCCGGGCUCAACCUGGGAACGGCAUCCGGAACUGUCAAGCUAGAGUGCAGGAGAGGAAGGUAGAAUUCCCGGUGUAGCGGUGAAAUGCGUAGAGAUCGGGAGGAAUACCAGUGGCGAAGGCGGCCUUCUGGACUGACACUGACACUGAGGUGCGAAAGCGUGGGUAGCAAACAGGAUUAGAUACCCGAGUAGUC
rnacentral:rRNA from 1 species